AGAGUUUGAUCCUGGCUCAAGAUGAACGCUGGCCGCCUGCUUAACACAUGCAAGUCCAACGAACCUUCGGGUUAGUGGCGGACGGGUGAGUAACGCGUGAGAAUCUGCCCUCAGGAGGGGGAUAACAGCUGGAAACGGCUGCUAAUACCCCAUAUGCCGCGAGGUGAAAUGAAUUUCGCCUGAGGAUGAGCUCGCGUCUGAUUAGCUAGUUGGUGUAGGUAAUGGCUCACCAAGGCUUCGAUCAGUAGCUGGUCUGAGAGGAUGAUCAGCCACACUGGGACUGAGACACGGCCCAGACUCCUACGGGAGGCAGCAGUGGGGAAUUUUCCGCAAUGGGCGAAAGCCUGACGGAGCAACGCCGCGUGAGGGAUGAAGGCCUCUGGGCUGUAAACCUCUUUUCUCAAGGAAGAAGAUCUGACGGUACUUGAGGAAUAAGCCACGGCUAAUUCCGUGCCAGCAGCCGCGGUAAUACGGGAGUGGCAAGCGUUAUCCGGAAUUAUUGGGCGUAAAGCGUCCGCAGGCGGCCCUUCAAGUCUGCUGUUAAAACGUGGAGCUUAACUCCAUCAUGGCAGUGGAAACUGUUGGGCUUGAGUGUGGUAGGGCAGAGGGAAUUCCCGGUGUAGCGGUGAAAUGCGUAGAUAUCGGGAAGAACACCAGUGGCGAAGGCGCUCUGCUGGGCCAUAACUGACGCUCAUGGACGAAAGCCAGGGGAGCGAAAGGGAUUAGAUACCCCUGUAGUCCUGGCCGUAAACGAUGAACACUAGGUGUCGGGGGAAUCGACCCCCUCGGUGUCGUAGCCAACGCGUUAAGUGUUCCGCCUGGGGAGUACGCACGCAAGUGUGAAACUCAAAGGAAUUGACGGGGGCCCGCACAAGCGGUGGAGUAUGUGGUUUAAUUCGAUGCAACGCGAAGAACCUUACCAGGGUUUGACAUCCUGCGAAUCUCUUGGAAACGAGAGAGUGCCUUCGGGAGCGCAGUGACAGGUGGUGCAUGGCUGUCGUCAGCUCGUGUCGUGAGAUGUUGGGUUAAGUCCCGCAACGAGCGCAACCCACGUCUUUAGUUGCCAGCAUUUAGUUGGGCACUCUAGAGAGACCGCCGGUGAUAAACCGGAGGAAGGUGUGGAUGACGUCAAGUCAUCAUGCCCCUUACAUCCUGGGCUACACACGUACUACAAUGCUACGGACAAAGGGCAGCAAGUUCGCGAGGACAAGCAAAUCCCAUAAACCGUGGCUCAGUUCAGAUCGUAGGCUGCAACUCGCCUACGUGAAGGAGGAAUCGCUAGUAAUCGCAGGUCAGCAUAUUGCGGUGAAUACGUUCCCGGGCCUUGUACACACCGCCCGUCACACCAUGGAAGUUGGCCACGCCCGAAGCCGUUACUCCAACCCUUGUGGAGGAGGACGUCGAAGGUGGGGCUGAUGACUGGGGUGAAGUCGUAACAAGGUAACC
rnacentral:rRNA from 1 species